UUAGUUAAAGCCAAAAAGAGGCUUAUCACUGUUAAUGAUAGAAUUGAAAUAACCUUCUAACUAAG
rnacentral:tRNA from 1 species